AGCUAUACAUGCAAGUCGAGCGGACAGAAGGGAGCUUGCUCCCGGAUGUUAGCGGCGGACGGGUGAGUAACACGUGGGUAACCUGCCUGUAAGACUGGGAUAACUCCGGGAAACCGGAGCUAAUACCGGAUAGUUCCUUGAACCGCAUGGUUCAAGGAUGAAAGACGGUUUCGGCUGUCACUUACAGAUGGACCCGCGGCGCAUUAGCUAGUUGGUGAGGUAACGGCUCACCAAGGCGACGAUGCGUAGCCGACCUGAGAGGGUGAUCGGCCACACUGGGACUGAGACACGGCCCAGACUCCUACGGGAGGCAGCAGUAGGGAAUCUUCCGCAAUGGACGAAAGUCUGACGGAGCAACGCCGCGUGAGUGAUGAAGGUUUUCGGAUCGUAAAGCUCUGUUGUUAGGGAAGAACAAGUGCAAGAGUAACUGCUUGCACCUUGACGGUACCUAACCAGAAAGCCACGGCUAACUACGUGCCAGCAGCCGCGGUAAUACGUAGGUGGCAAGCGUUGUCCGGAAUUAUUGGGCGUAAAGGGCUCGCAGGCGGUUUCUUAAGUCUGAUGUGAAAGCCCCCGGCUCAACCGGGGAGGGUCAUUGGAAACUGGGAAACUUGAGUGCAGAAGAGGAGAGUGGAAUUCCACGUGUAGCGGUGAAAUGCGUAGAGAUGU
rnacentral:rRNA from 1 species